rnacentral:lncRNA from 1 species
GAUGAGAAGCUCUGGGGCUUCUGGGAUUGACCCAAACAUAGCUUUUGGAGGAAGACUCGGAAUUUCCAUCGGGGUUUUCAGUUUUUGGGGUUUCUUGUAAAGAAACAUGGUUUAUUUGGAGAGAAAUUCUGGAGUGAAGAGUAGGGAAGGUGUGAGUAUCAGAGGUGGUUGGCCUGAGCCUUCUAGAGGAGGAGAGAGAGUGAGAGAGAAAGAGAGAGGAGGGUGUGGAGGAUACAUGAUAAGCCAUUGUUUCCCUCUUUGUUUUGCGUCUGUGACUAUCAGGACUGAAGAGAGAGAUGAGGUUUAAUGGUCUAUGCUGUGGUGAGGGUACAUGGUUCGUUAUGGUGUUUCCUGGUUCUCCACCGUAGGAUAUGUGGGAUCGGCGUAUGAUUGUAGUUUAUCUUUAGUUUUUUUUUUUUUUAAAUGGUGGGCCUCGCAGCCCGCAAUGGAUCCGCCACACAUUGACCACCUAGCCCUGUAUGGUCUCCGCUUGGCCCAAAGAAAUAAUUUUUUUCUUUUGUAUUCUAUUUCUUUCUUUUUUAAAUGAUGGCCCCGUAUUUUGCAGACCGCCUAACCCCACAUGGUCUCCACCAAACACAUAUAAAUUAUUUUUUUUAAUAUUUUUUUUCCUCUUAAUAUCUGGGAUGAAACCUUUGCCGGCCUUGUUAUUGUUGUUUUGCAGCCGACUUCUCCGUCUCCGCCGUGUAAUUGGACAGCGGCUAUGGUCAUAUGUCUAAACUUAACAUGUAUGUGCUGAAUUGAAGUUUCUGAGUCAGAAGGUUGUUAAGAGUCAUCGAGGCAGGUAUUACUGCCGUAUAUAUAUAUUAGUUGAUUUGUUUAGUUUCCGAGUUGAUUGUUAAGGAUUGGCCCAGAUUUCACUGAAACUCUUAGGAAUGACUAGAAUCUAGUUAAACAUGCAGUUGCCCACUUGCCCUCAUCGACCUUGUGAGAAUGUGAGUGAAAGCAGCUUCCAGUGUUCCAUUUGAGCCAUAAGUUGGGCCAUUCUGCAACGGUCACCUUCGAUCACCAAUCAUAUCCACCAUUGAUCACCAAUCAUACUUUAUUAUUUACUUUUGUUCUAUAUAUAAAAAACAACACCAACUUUAACGUACGUUGUAAAAAUGGAGAUCGAUCGAGCUGGAAGCAGCUUUCCCACAAAGUACAGUAGCAGGUCAAGGCAGGUAUACAGACAUGAUCGAUUUUACAUGAUGGCGCACGCUUGGGGAUUUUCUUCACCGAAACAAUCGGGGCGUGUCAUGCAGUAACUACUAGUGGCAUAGCUCCUCCCACCGCCGUAACUAUCAUACACUGGCCCACCGUAACCAUACCCAGUUUGGCAGGGACCACCCGGAUGCCCUCCGUAACAAUCCAUACAACACUCGCUCACCGUCACCGGAGGGUAAGCCGGAACCAGAAACAGAACCGGCUCUUCCUUCGGCUUCUCUGCCUUCUUGGGUUCGUCUUUAGGCCUUUCAGCCUCCUUCGGUGUCCCUUUAGGCUUGUCAGCAUCUAUUGGUUUCUUUUUAGGCUCCUCUUUCUUCUUCUCCUCUGGUUUCGCUUUAGGCUUCUCCUCCUUUGGUUUCUCUUUGGGCUUCUCGGGCUCUUUGAUGUCGAUGCUCUUGAUGGCGCCACCUCCUUUGCAGCAUAGCUUGUCUCUGAUCUUCUCAGGACUGCAGCAGACCACCUUGAUGAUCACCUGGUUGUUCUUCUCGUCGUACGUCUGGUCUCGUAUUUCUCUUGUUCACAAAAUCCAACCAAUACCAGAAACCACACUCAAUUUACGUUUUUUUGUUUUCUCUGCUAAAAUACACAACGUACCAGAAUGGAAGAGAAAAGAAGAAACUCACGAGGGAAUUUACAGAGAACUUUCUUAACCUUCUUGUAGCAUUUUUCACACUGAAGGUCCACCUUCAGAACCAUUAUCGUCACCUGAUGACAUUAAUACAAUCAUUUUUGCAGAAAUUAGAUAGGUAUAGAGAAUGGUUAAUUACUUCUUCUUCUUUUUUAUGUAGAAGAAGAAGUGAGUAAUUAAGAAUGGAUCGAAGAUGAUUUGAAGAUCGAUGAGGAAUCGAAUCGAUCUCUGUGUUUCUGACAGAAGAAUGAUGAGUCGGGUAUAGGCGACAAAUUGAAGAAGAAAGAGCCAAAAGCUUGAGAAUUAAAAAGUGAGGAGCAGCAGCCACAAAAAAUAAAAAUUGAGAGGAGCAGAUUUGAUGCAAUGGGCAAUCAAUCUACUUAUCUAUAUGAUGAGGAAAAAGAGCUGGAAAAGCAUAAACAACUUUCUAGUAGCUAAUGUUAAGAAAGAAAUACCUUUUUUUCCCCCAUUGUUGCAGCAGUGAGAUGGGAUCUGAUGUUCUUUGUGAACGGAACCUCCCAGCUAAAAUGAUUGAAUAGGACGGGAGUCAGUGACCCGAGUUGGCAUAUAAAUUGAGCAGCUGGCGGNNNNNNNNNNNNNNNNNNNNNNNNNNNNNNNNNNNNNNNNNNNNNNNNNNNNNNNNNNNNNNNNNNNNNNNNNNNNNNNNNNNNNNNNNNNNNNNNNNNNNNNNNNNNNNNNNNNNNNNNNNNNNNNNNNNNNNNNNNNCUCUCUCUCUCUCUCUCUCUCUCUCUCUCUCUGAUCUGAAACUUUUCCUCUCUCUCUUUCACCGAUGCCACCCUCCUUCGCCGAUGCCAUCCCACCCGCCGCUUCAUCUCCGGCUCCGACGAGGUCCGGGAGCUGCCGGAAAACGACUGCAAGAUCUGAACGAUCGCAUCCACCAAGACCCGAGGGGCCGGGCUCGUCAUUCUCAUCGACGACAUCCACUUCGGUCAAGUCCAGUGAGCCCGUCGUUGUCGCCGCCGUCGGUCAACAUCUGCACCGUUUCACAUUGGCGCUGCCUCGAGGAUCCGCGACCGAGAUGUUACCAUCGAGAUAGGACGACUCCGGAGAAGCGUUGCGCUACUACGAGUCCGAAGAGCAGCGUUCUGGUCGUUCUCCAACGUCGUCUGCACACCGUCGCUUGGAAACGUCGAUGCGAGCUGAGCUUGACGAGGCCGACGAAGAUGGAGUCGGGAGGGAAGGUGGAGGCGGCGCCAGGGAGAGGAGGCUUGGUGUUGGUGGAUUUGGAGCGGAGGAGCUCGGUGAGGACGGUCAGGAUGCGCUUGGAGUCCACGUGGACGGUGAAGAGGUUGGGGACGUUGGCGGGGUAGGCGCGGAUGACCUCCGGCUGAUCAAUCUCCUCGAUUGAAAUCCCUCAAAACUUAGGCAGGUGCAUGGCUUUGACUAGUUUUUCUCUCUAUUUUUAUGAGAUGAGAAUUUGAGAAAAGAGGAAGGGUGAAUAGGAAAAGGGACGGUGGAAUAUUGAACGUUGACGAUGUUUAUUAGUCCAGUUGUUUUGUUUUCUGAGUCCUUUCGAACUUAAAAAUGUAUGUUUAAAAUGAUUAUUGACUGACAGUAACUGAUUAUUGGGGGUCAGUAACUGAUUAUGUUCUAAUAUUUCUUUUUUCUAGUAUUAUUAAGCUGAAAUAAGUUGAUUAUUGGGGGUCAGUAAUUGAUUAUUAGAGGUUAGUAACACGAUUAUUAGGGGUCAGUAACUGGUUAUUGGGGUCAGUAACUGGUUACUGGGUGUCAGUAACUAACUGGUUACUGGGUGUCAGUAACUGGUUAUUAGGUGUCAGUAACUGGUUACUAGGUGUCAGUAACUGGUCAGUUAGUGGUUACUGGGUGUCAGUAACUAGUUAUUGGGGGUUAGUAACUGAUUAUUAUGAGUCAUUAACUUGUCAGUAACUGGUUAUUGGGAGUCAGUAACUAGUUACAGGGGAAAUUCCGGAGUCCGGCGAUCGAGGAAAUUCUGGUGACCGGAGUCCGGCGGUCGGGGAAAUUCCAGUGACCGGAGUCCGGCGGCCGGUGACCAGAGUCCGGUGAGAUUCCGGCCAAGUAUUCUCUCUUUUAUUUUCUCUCUCUAUGCAUAUGUAAGAGGUGAGGGCAAAAUAGUCUUAAAAUAAUAUGGUUAAUUUGUUAAGACUUUAGUAAAUAUUUGUGUAUUUUGGCAUAAAGAUUUGUGCAUUUGGACAUAAAAAAAUGCAUCUUAUAUUGAAAUGGGCUAAUGAAAAAGAUUUUCAUUGGAAUAAAAAUAAAAAUUUAAAUUAGUACUAAAUUGACAUUCUAAUGCAAUAGAAUGGUCUGAAUGUGGAGGAUGGACCAAAUUAAUACCGCAGUAAUAUGAUUAGGGUGUCAUUCACCCGGCCACAUCUUGUUGUUUUCGAUUCAAGUAUCAAGCACCCACAUGGCACAUGGAGCAUCCCACAACUGUCCCCGGCGCUAGUAGUUGCCACCGUCCAUCUUCGGACUAGCAAAUUGUUAUGGAUCAUUCUCCUUACCAUGAUCCACGACGUAUUACCAAGAAUACAUGAUAAGCCAUUGUUUCCCCCUUUCUUUUGCGUCUGUGACUAUCAGGACCGGGAGAGAUGAGGUUUAUUGGUCUAUGGUGUGGUGAGGGUACGGUACAUGGUUCGUUAUGGUGUUUCCUGCCUAUCCACCGUUGCAUAUGUGCGAUCGGCGUAUGAAUUUAGGUUAUAUAUAUAUAUAUUUUUUUUUUUCAUUUUAAAUGGUGGGCCUCGCAGCCAACAAAUGCCCGUCACACAUUAACCGUUAGCCCUGUAUGGUCUCCGCCUGGCCCAUAUAAAUAAUUUGUUUUUUAUAUUCUUUUUCUUUCUUUUUUAAAUGGUGGACCCCGCAUUUUGCGUGUAGCGAACCGCCUAGCCCCAAAUGAUCUCCGCCUAAUCCAUAUAAAUUAUUUUUCGUUUAUAUUUUUUUUCCUCUUAAAAUCUGGGAAGAAACCUUUAGCGGCCUUACUGUUGUUGUUGCACAGCCGACUUCUCCGUCUCCGCCACGUAAUUGGACUACGGCCAUGGUCAUAUGUCUAAACUUAACAUGUAUGUGUUGAAUUGAAGUUUCUGAGUCAGAAGGCUGUUAGAGUCAUCGAUUGCAGGUAUAUAUGGUAUAUUAUUGCCGUAUAUAUAUUGGUUGAUUGUUUAGUUUCCGAGUUGUUGUUAAGGAUCGGGUUAAAAAGAUUGAGCAUUAUAUUAUAGCUAUUUAUAGCUAUAAACAGCACAUUGCAUAUCCAUUGAUGAAUUUAUGUUAGUGAUGCAUGUUGGAAUGAAAACUGAUCGGUGUUGGCUAGUUUGGAAUGAAAACUGAUUUGGUGUUAGCAAGUUUCAAUUGAAUAAAGUUUGAAUUGCAUUUUGUAUAUUCUAGAUUAAGUUAUUAAUUGUCGCUUCUGCAUGUUGGUUUUAUUCUUGUUUUAGGACAUUUUAAUCAGGUUUCAUUUUUUGUAUAUGUUACUAUUGAAUUUGUUGUGCUAGGUUUCUUGGUUCUACUUGCUGAUGAUGAAGUUUAGGUCCUGGCAAAGUUGAUAAUUUUGUAAGCUUGUAGGUGUUUUGCCUUGUGUCAUGGUCCAUUACGAAGGGUGAUGAUCCUGCAAAUGCAGCCUUCUCGGAAGUAAGUUAAUCUCAUGAAAUUAUCUCAUCUUUUUAAUCCUUGUCAGAGCUCUAUACAUUUUUUGGUUUAAGCAUACCAGCUUGUGUUUCAAGUCAAAUUUAUUGUUUGAGAUUCAUAUCUUUUGUUUAGUCUCUGUUGUUUUACUUUUAUUCGUCUCUUUGUCCAAUUGUUAUAAGAUCCGAAAACGUUAUAUAAGAUACUAGAUUGAGAAUGUUCCAAGUUCUAAAACACCACAUAAUGUUUCGUUUCGUGCAAAGGGACCUGAGACUGGAAGUCAAGUACCAUAUGGCCUUGCAGGGGAGAGUAGUCUGGUUAAACGUGAUUGACCCAGAUUUCACUGAAAUUCUUAGGAAUGACUAGAAUCUAGUUAAACAUGCAGUUGCCCCGUUGCCCUCAUGGACCUUGUGAGAAUGUGAGUGAAAGCAGCUUCCAGUGUUCCAUUUGAGCCAUAAGUUGGGCCUUUCUGCAACGGUCACCUUGGAGGACCAUUAAGGAACCAAACAAGUGGAUCGGCCCAUUUAUGAUCUUAGCCCUAGUCUAAGCAAGAACAAUAAGAGAGAGACUUGCAUGUCAAACUAUUCACUUCUUUCAUACAUGUAUGCAUAGGAAGUAAGUAAUGGCAAACAGAUGGUAUUAUGUAGGUGAUUGUAAAUCGAACAUAAACAUAUGGUUCCAUUCAAACCGAAGGAAUAUAAUGUACAACUUUUAGUGGGCUAAUUAACACGCAUAUCAAAGUUGCUUCUCUAGCUAGUAAAAGAACUAAGAACAACGUACCCUUAUUAUACUACUCAACAGUCGUUCAUAAAUUAAACAAACUCCAGAUUUUGAGUAAUAGAAAAUGGAGUUGCAUUGGACUUGUCCUACUUCUUUGUCGGCAAUAGACGGUGUGUAUGAGUGCAAUCGCAGCAGCAUCGAAUAUUUUAACUAGUUUGUAGGCUUGGGGAUCGUUCUUUCAUGUGAAUCAAUCACACAUAUAGUUGACCUAAUUUCAUACUCGCCCACUUUUUAUACUUAGAUGCAUCCAUCGCAUGGAGAUCGAGUUGGAGACCUAGCUAGCUAGCUCAUCUUAAUUAUUGGUACCAAAUUCUUCCAACAAAUGGACAAAUAAUUCAAAAAAAUAUAUGCAUAUGUGCACAGGACAAAAUUCAUAUGCAAUUUGAUGGAACUUUUAUUUCAUUAAUGGAAUAAAGAUUGUAACAACUUCUUCUUCUUCUUCUUCUUGUAGCUAGCUCUAUAAUGGAUGGCUGGCAUGGCUAACCUGAUCGUGACAUAUCCACCACCAUCACCAUUGAUCACCAACCAUGCUUUAUUAUUUUACUUUUGUUCUAUAUAUAAAAAACAACACCAACUUUAACGUACACUGUAAAAAUGGAGACACCGAUCGAUCGAGCUGGAAGCAGUUUUCCCACAAAGUAUAGUAGAAGGUCAAGGCAGGUAUACAGAUAUGAUCGAUUUUACAUGAUGGCGCACGCUUGGGGAUUUUCUUCACUGAAACAAUCAGGGCGUGUCACGCAGUAACUACUAGUGGCGUAGCUCCUCCCACCGCCGUAACUAUCGUACACUGGCCUUCCAUAGUAGCCGUCGUACUGUAUGUAUGGUGCUGCCCCACCGUAACCGUACCCAGUUUGGCAGGGACCACCCGGAUGCCCUCCGUAACAUUCCAUACAACACGCGUUCACCGUCACCGGAGGGUAAGCAGUAACCGGAGGCUGAGUAGGCUGAGAAGGCUUCGGCUUCUCUGCGUCCUUGGGUUUCUCUUUAGGUUUUUCAGCCUCUUUAGGUUUCUCAGCCUCCUUUGGUUUCUCAGCCUCUUUUGGUUUCUCUUUAGGCUUUUCAGCCUCUUUAGGUUUCUCAGCCUCCUUUGGUUUCUCUUUAGGCUUCUCAGCCUCCUUUGGUUUCUCUUUAGGCUUCUCAGGCUCCUUGGGCUUGGGCUUCUCGGGCGGCAAGAUGUCGAUGCUCUUGAUGGCGCCACCUCCUUUGCAGCAUAGCUUGUCUCUGAUCUUCUCAGGACUGCAGCAGACCACCUUGAUGAUCACCUGGUUGUUCUUCUCGUCGUACGCCUGGUCUCGUAUUUCUCUUGUUCACAAAAUCCAACCAAUACCAGAAACCACACUCAAUUUACGUUUUUUUGUUUUCUCUGCUAAAAUACACAACGUACCAGAAUGGAAGAGAAAAGAAGAGACUCACGAGGGAAUUUACACAGAACUUUCUUAACCUUCUUGUAGCAUUUUUCACACUGAAGGUCCACCUUCAGAACCAUUAUCGUCACCUGAUGACAUUAAUACAAUCAUUUUUGCAGAAAUUAGAUAGGUAUAGAAUGGUUAAUUACUUCUUCUUCUUCUUCUUCUUUUUUUCUGCAGAAGAAGAAGUGAGUAAUUAAGAAUGGAUCGAAGAUGAUUUGAAGAUGGAUGAGGAAUUUUAUCCAUCAGGUUCUGUGUUUCUGACAGAAGAAUGAUGAGUCGGUUAUAGGCGACAAAUUGAAGAAGAAAGAGCCAAAAGCUUGAGAAUUAAAAAGUGAGGAGCAGCAGCCACAAAAAAUAAAAAUUGAGAGGAGCAGAUUUGAUGCAAUGGGCAAUCAAUCUACUUAUCUAUAUGAUGAGGAAAAAGAGCUGGAAAAGCAUAAACAACUUUCUAGUAGCUAAUGUUAAGAGAGAAAUACCUUUUUUUCCCCCAUUGUUGCAGCAGUGAGAUGGGAUCUGAUGUUCUUUGUGAACGGAACCUUCCCAGCUAAAAUGAUUGAAUAGGACGGGAGUCAGUGACCCGAGUUGGCAUAUAAAUUGAGCAGNNNNNNNNNNNNNNNNNNNNNNNNNNNNNNNNNNNNNNNNNNNNNNNNNNNNNNNNNNNNNNNNNNNNNNNNNNNNNNNNNNNNNNNNNNNNNNNNNNNNNNNNNNNNNNNNNNNNNNNNNNNNNNNNNNNNNNNNNNNNNNNNNNNNNNNNNNNNNNNNNNNNNNNNNNNNNNNNNNNNNNNNNNNNNNNNNNNNNNNNNNNNNNNNNNNNNNNNNNNNNNNNNNNNNNNNNNNNNNNNNNNNNNNNNNNNNNNNNNNNNNNNNNNNNNNNNNNNNNNNNNNNNNNNNNNNNNNNNNNNNNNNNNNNNNNNNNNNNNNNNNNNNNNNNNNNNNNNNUUUUUUUUUUUGGUCAAGAAAAAAAAAAGGGAACCAUUUAGCAAUGUUGACAUAUGCAUGGAGGUGAAACUUUCAAAAACCGCGGGCUCCAGAUAUUGACGAUUGCACGUUUCUUACACCCAGGGUCUUCGAUCUAUUACAUCUUCAUCAUGGAAAAUUAAAUUAUUAUGUUACGUACAUACAUGGAUAUGUGAUGUGGGAGUGGUUCUAAAAAUAACUAUUUAGUUGAAUAUUUUUUUAUUAAUAGUUUAUUACAUAUAUUUUUCAAUUAAUUUUUUAUCUCAACCGUUUAGUUUUUAAUAGAUCAUUUUUUUAAAUUUUCAACCAAAUUUUUGAUCGUUAAGGAAUCGAACUUAAUCAAAUCAAUUGACGAUCCUUAUCUAUUAAAUAUGAGUCGUUCAAGUUUAUAAUCGGUAAAUCACAUUUAUGAAUAUCUCAACGAUUUUAAAUUUAGAUAAAAAUUUAUAGAGAUGAUAUUUUCAUAUAUAUUUACAAAUUAGGCGGUCGAGAUGUGAACAUGUGAUUGAAAACGGAGUGAAACAAAGAAAUUUUCAAUUAGUCUUCAACUUAGUGGUCCUCGUUAGAACCACUCUCAUGUGAUACAAACAUACUUUAUUACGAGGCAAAAUUUUCCUAUCACACCAUCACCACCCUACUAGCACAUGUUCUUUUUUUCUUAGUUGUAUGUAUCAUAUACCUAUAACCUAUCUUCAUAGUAGAUAAUCCCCUUCAUCAUACAUACACGUGUUGUGUUUACACAGCUAUAUUCAAAAACUUAAUUUUAAGAUUAACCUCAUCGUCAUUCUAAUUUAAAAAUAAUAUUAUGAAAUAGCAUGUGAUCGACCUUUGGCUCUUUACUGAUGAUUGUAUUUGUGUGACUGUCUCCUCAAUUUGAUUCUUCGUCCCAUAAAAAUAAUAUAUAAGCGUAAUUAGUCUUUGUACGUAGUAUCAUCGAUCUUAUACGUACAUGGCCAUGCAUUUAUCCGUUGUAAUAUCACUGGUUAUUUGUUGAUGAGCAGACUAUAUGAUAGGUAGCUAUGUAGCAAAUUACUCAAUUCCGAGCACAAAAAUACAGCAAUCAAUUGUUUGUCUUGAUCGGUAGUCUCACUCAAUCACAUACGUAAGUGACCGGAUCACUCAUGCAUGACUCAGCUAGACCUAGAGCUGGAGGGUGGUGUCUUCAUAAGAAGUUGAAAUCUGUGAACACAGCCAUCGAAUAAAUUCAACAAAGUCCUCAGUAGUGGGCAUCGGACAACAACCUUACGCAACUUAGGCUCCAUCGAUCUCAUCAUAUAUGCUUUACAAAUAUUUCUUCUGCCGACAAUUUCACACAUUUUACAAGCCCAUAUGCCAGUCUUCUUAAAUAUAACCAAGAUAUGCCUUCCACUUAGCCCAAUGCAAUGGACCUAAUAUUAAGCCCACGCUAUAUAUGCACAAUCCGGGCCUCCCAUCUAUUCUGUACGGGAAUUAUGAUCGGUACGGUGAGUUUGAGACUCUGACCAGCAUCGUCGACGAUCCAAUGACUCGAUUCAUACACCAUUCAUGUACAAAAAACGAUACGAGUCUAUAACCAAUUUUUCAUCGAGUUUAUUGAGGCUACUGUGCACUUUGAACUCUGCACGACUCAUGCAUCUUCAAUCAUGUACGUGUAGCUAACUGAACCUGAAUCAAAUUCACACUCUUUAAAAUUAGUACUAAAUGAACAUACCUGUUCUCUUCAUUACAUAUCAGUGUAGCCGAUAUCAGCACACAUAGACAAAAGGGUGUUAUAGAGAAUUACAUUCAACUCCAUUCCCUUCUCCUUCAUCUCCUUGGCAAAGAGCCCUUGCUGAUCAUCUCUCGGUAAAUUUUCUUGGCCUGCCAAGGCCUCUUAGCUCUUCCCAUAGAAUCCAACAAAGUAUUAUAAAUAACCAUGUUCGGCUUAACCCAAAUUGCCUUCAUUUCCUCGUAAACUUUCAAGCACCCAUCAUAAUUCCCUGAUUGCCCGUGAAUCUUAAUCAACGUUGCAAAUGUCACUGGAUCAAUGCGCCAUUUCUCUGUCCUAGCGCAGUCAUACAAGCUAAAAGCCUUGUCAACAUUACCGGCACGGCCAUAUGCAUCGAUCAUAGCCGAAUAGGUAACAUCAUCAGGACUACACCCGUAACUAGGCAUCUUCUCAAACCACUCCACAGCCUUAUCAGGCAGAUAACACAUCCUAGCACAGCUAAUCAUAGUCGAAAACGUAACAUUAUCAGGUGUAACACCUCUCUCAAGCAUCUCAUUAAACAGCUUCUCUGCUCUCACUAAAUCCUUACACUUUCUAAACACUUUCAAUGUCACAUUGUAGAGAACCACUUCCCUCUUAGGUUUGAACAUGUGCUGAAAGUACUUUAGAGCAAGUAACGCAUUUUCGGGGUUACCAUGGUAUUAAGAACAACGACAGCAUCUUGUUCCAAAACCCCAUCACCUAAAGUCUUUAAAAUAUCAAAAACAUCACUUUCACUUAGGCAGACAGAGUUCAAGGACUCAGCUACUUUGACUAAAGAAGUGUACCUGGAAUCGUAGGACUUGUUCCUAAGAUGAGAAGCCCUGGGGCUGCUGGGAUUGACCCAAACAUAGCUUUUGGAGGAAGACUCGGAAUUUCCAUCGGGGUUUUCAGUUUUUGGGGUUUCUUGUAAAGAAACAUGGUUUAUUUGGAGAGAAAUUGUGGAGUGAAGAGUAGGGAAGGUGAGAUUGAAGGUGUGAGUAUCAGAGGUGGUUGGCCUGAGCUUUCUAGAGGAGGAGAGAGAGUGAGAGAGAAAGAGAGACGAGGGUGUGGAGGAUACAUGAUAAGCCAUUGUUUCCCUCUUUGUUUUGCGUCUGUGACUAUCAGGACCGAAGAGAGAGAUGAGGUUUAAUGGUCUCUGGUGUGGUGAGGGUACAUGGUUCGUUAUGGUGUUUCCUGCUUCUCCACCGUUGGAUAUAUGGGAUCGGCGUAUGAUUUUAGUUUAUAUUUGUUUUUUUUUUUCGUUUUAAAUGGUGGAUCUCGCAGCCCACAAAGGGCCGCCACACGUGGACCGCCUAGCCCUGUUUUGUCUCCGCCUAGCCCAUAGAAAUUAUUUUUUCUUUUGUAUUUUCUUUUUCUUUUUUUUAAAUCAUGGACCCCGUAUUCUGUUAAGGCCCGCUACACGUGGACCGCCUAGCGCCAUAUGGUCUCAGCCUAGCCCAUAUAAAUUACUUUUCUUUUAUAUUUUUUUUCCUCUAAAAAUCUGGGAUGAAACCUUUGGCGGCCUUGUUGUUGUUGUGUAGCCGACUUCUCCGUCUCCGCCGCGUAAUUGGACGGCAACCAUAGUCAUCUGUCUAAACAUAACAUGUAUGUGCCGAAUUGAGGUUUCUGAGUCGGAAGGUUGUUAGUCAUCGAUUGCAGGUAUAUAUGGUAUAUUACUGCCGUAUGUAUAUUGAUUGAUUUGUUUAGUUUCCGAGUUGAUUGUCAUGGAUUGGGUUAAAAAAGUUGAGCAUUAUAUUAUAGCUAUUUAUAGCUAUAAACAACACAUUGCAUAUCCAUUGAUGCAUAUAUGUUAGUGAUGUUUGAAUGAAAACUGAUUCGGUGUCGGCAAGUUUAUAAUGAAAACUGAUUUGGUGUUAGCAAGUUUCAGUUGAAUAAAGUUUGAAUUGCAUUUUGUAUAUUAUAGAUUAAGUUAUUAGUAGUCGCUUAUGCGUAUUGGUUUUAUUCUUGUUUUUGGUUUAAUCAGGUUUCAUUUUCUGUAUAUGUUACUAUUGAAUUUGUUGUGCUAGCAGGUUUCUUGGUUCUACUUGCUGAUGAUGAAGUUUAGGUAGCUGAUAAUUUUGUAAGCUUGUAGGUGUUUUGCCUUGUGUCAUGGUCCGCUGCGGAGGGUGGAUGAUCCAGCAAAUGCAGCCUGCUUGGAAGUAAGUUAAUCUCAUGAAAUUAUCUCAUGUUUUUAAUCUUUGUUAGAGCUCUAUACAUUUUUUUGUUUGAGCAUACCAGUUUCUGUGUCAAGUCAAGUUUACUGCUUGGGAUUCAGAUCUUCUAUUUAGUCUCUGUUGUUUUACUUUUAUUCGUCUCUUUGUCCAAUUGUUAUAAGAUAAAAAAAUAAAAAAAGGUUAUAUAAGAUGCUAGAUUGAGAAUGUCCCAAGUUCUAAAACACCACAUAAUGUUUCGUUUUGUACAAAAGGACCUGAAACACUGAAGGAAGAUGGUACGUAACUUAUUGUUCCUGGAAUCCAUAACUUUACAUCAACAACUUAUUGUUCCUGUAACAACUUAUUCUUCUUCUUGUACCUCUAUAAUGGAUGGCUGGCACCGUGGCGUAGCUAGCUAGGGGUCAAACGGUUCAAUUGAACCCUCUCAGAUUUUGAAAAAGCUUAAUUAGCUAGCCUUAAUGAACAAACAUAAAUUGAC